rnacentral:misc_RNA from 1 species
AACGCACAUUGCGCCCGGCAGUACUCUGCCGGGCAUGCCUGUUCGAGCGUCAUUUCAACCCUCAGGCCCUGCCUGGCGUUGGGGACCCACGGCUGCCGUGGUCCCUGAAAGGAAGUGGCGGGCUCGCGUGCAGCUCCGAGCGUAGUAACAACAUUCUCGCUAGGGAGUCCUGCGGCGGCGCUCCGGCCGUUAAAGCAACAUCUGUUCUUUAACCAAGGUUGACCUCGGAUCAGGUAAGGAUACCCGCUGAACUUAA